UAUGAUGAUGUUAAGCUAUCCGAAAUGGUAGUUUUCACUUUUUUAAGAAAUGUACUGGUAUUCAUAUUGGAAAGGGGAAGUAUCUAAGAAAUCUUUAGCUACUGGGGUGCUGCAAGAAAUUGCACGACGCUGCAACUCAAAGGUAUGUGCUACAUACUUUUUAGCCAAAAUGAUACCCCUCGUUUCUUGUGUUGAUUUUUCUUGGCUAUCAUAGUAAGUGUUCCACCAAUCUGUGUUGCUUUGUAGGUUGAGUUCGGGACUGUGGUGAGCACCAUUGAGGAAUUGCAAUUUUCAGUUAAGGUCUUCUUCACAGGUGAGAAAGUUGGUGUCAGAAUGGGUAAAAAUAGGAAGGAUGCUCAACAACAAGAAGCUGAGAAUACACUUCAUAACUUGGAUGCUAUCUACUGGAGGAGAUGAGGAACCCUGCAAGAUUUAAAUGUGAGCUGUCUCUAAGGACAUGUGGAUCAGGACAUGCUAAAAGUAUUGUGUAGGUCAGGACAUGCGGAUUUCCUCCAUUAAAGGACAGAGAAAAGUCCAUGACAUUUUUUGUAGGCCUAGAGUUCUUUGGUGAUGGUAUUCUUACCAAAGAGAAAACUGUAUCCUUUUUUACAUGAUUCAUUAAUAGAAAAUCAAAAAUACCAUAGCAACUAUUUAUGGUAGCUUAAAUAGAUAUGAAACUUCCCUAACCUCUGCAACUGCUAAGACAUGGAGAGCUGGAGAAAAAUGUUGUAAAGAUAUAUUUGUUAUACUAUCUGAUA